rnacentral:lncRNA from 10 species
CAUUAAUAUCCAAGGAGGCUGUCUUGAGAAUGGAAAGGAAGAUCUUCUAGAAGAAAAAAGUAUGGAAUUAAUGAAUGAAUAUAAUUAUUUUAAAGAAAAACUUUCAGUAUGAAAAAGAAGCAGCAGAAGGAGAAGGAAGUAUGAAGAAAACUAUUUAUAACCUUCUGGAAAGAAAAUUUAAACAUUUCAUUCUGGCUAUAUGUUGAACCUAGUUCAAUAUAAAAAUAAAUAGAUGAAAAUGUGUUUACCAUACUUUGUAAGUCCAUUUACAUGAAUCAUCCAGGAAAUACAGGUAUAGGGACAGAAAGAAGAUUAAUGUUUGUAUAGCCCUGGGGCUGGAAGUGGGUCAUGACUGCUAAUGGGCAUGAGGGAUUGUCCUGGAGUGAUGAAAAUGUUCUAAAGUUGAAUUGUAGAGAUGGUUGCACAACACAGUAAAUUUACUAAAAAUCUUUGAACUCUUUGUUAAAACAGAUAAAUUCUAUAAAUCAUAUUUCAACAAAGCUGUUUUAAGAAAAAUCAUAUUUCAACGAAGCUGUUUUAAUAAACCAAAAAAAGUGCUUACUGUAUCAGCUUGGAAACAUACUUUGUUUUCAGGAAAUAAAAGGUGGAGCUGAGAGAUGCUUUCCUUUGAGUAAAGACGUUAUGUCACCUGUGAAAUUUUAGUAGAUACAGAGCAUUGUUGAUAAGGUGAUUGUAAGACAACUUCAAGAAGAACUGGCUGAUCACCUUAAAAAAUUUUCAAUGUCAGAGUCUCCACUGGAAGGUACAUCAUAUUGUCAUAUUAAUUUGGAUGAGACACGGACUUCAAAGAAGAAAUUAUUUCAAGUAGAAAGUCAACCUGAAGAAAAACAUGAAGAACUCGGAAAACUUUUUGAGUUAAUAUCAUCACUGGACUGUAAUGUAGAUC